UUUACUCAUCUUUUAUUCAUCUUUUUCGUCACUUCACAUGUCAACUUUGUUGGCAAUAGGGCUUACCCCAGCAGGUGGCACCAUGGUAAAUGUACCUGCGUAUUAAAACACUACUAGGUCAUAAGUACCAACAAUAUAAAGAUUGAUAACAAAGACAAACUAGGCAAAAGGUUAAGAACCAAAGGCAUACCUAGAGUGGGGUACAGACGUGUUAAGUACAACACUUGUUAAGGAGUAGCAACGCAUGGUCCAAUUACUGUGUCAAAGGGUACAUCAAUAGAACUUGCAGCAAUAGGAGCAGAAACAAUCCGUCUCUGUGACCAUCGAAACAAGACAACAAAGCAAACGCUCUGAAGUAGCAAGAACGAGGCACGGUAACCUUUCGCCG
rnacentral:lncRNA from 1 species